rnacentral:tRNA from 1 species
AAGGGUAUAGCUCAAAGUGGUAGAGCACAUGAUUAGCAUGCAUGAGGUCCUGGGUUCAAUUCCCAGUACCUCCU